CUACGUAGGGGGCAAGCGUUGUCCGGAAUUACUGGGCGUAAAGAGCUCGUAGGCGGCUCAGCAAGUCGGUCGUGAAAGCCCGAGGCUCAACCUCGGAACUGCGGUCGAUACUGCUGUGGCUAGAGUCCGGUAGAGGAGAGUGGAAUUCCCGGUGUAGCGGUGGAAUGCGCAGAUAUCGGGAGGAACACCAGUGGCGAAGGCGGCUCUCUGGGCCGGUACUGACGCUGAGGAGCGAUAGCGAGGGGAGCAAACAGGAUUAGAAACCCUAGUGGUCC
rnacentral:rRNA from 1 species